AGGACACUCCAAGGGCUCCUCUCCCUUCAUUUUAUUGCUGUGAUCCCACAGUCUGCUAUUCCCAGCCCAACCCAUUUGGGUUCCCAAGGACUUCAGUCCAGUCACCAGCUCAUCCACCACCCAGGUUCCAUGGGAAGAUUCAGCUUGACAAGGCGCAAGCCAGCAGCAAGCUCCCUGUGUAGCAGGUGAAGGGAGCAAAAUCUCCGGUGAAGGCGUGAGCUCCAUGGCGUUGGCGCCCGGGCUGACACGUGGGAUGCCCUCCUCAGCCAGUGACUGGUCCAGUCUGAUCUUGGGCUCUGUCUAGCAGGAGGGAGCUCAACUAGUCAUUCCCUCAUCUCCAUGAAGGAAGAGAAAGACCAAGACGAUGAAAGACAAGUG